UUUCGCAAUGCCCGAAAGGGUGACGAAGCGACGCCGCGUGAGUGAGGAAGGCCUUCGGGUUGUAAAGCUCUGUCAGGAGUUAAGAAAUAUAAGUGUGUUAAUACCACAUUUAUUUGACGAAGGCUCCAAAGGAAGCCACGGCUAACUCUGUGCCAGCAGCCGUGGUAAUACAGAGGUGGCAAGCGUUGUUCGGGAUUAUUGGGCGUAAAGAGCACGUAGGUGGGUUUGUAAGUCAGAUGUGAAAGCCUUCUGUUCAACGGAAGAAUUGCAUCUGAAACUGCGAGUCUUGAGUGUAGGAGGGGAGAAUGGAACUUCUGGUGGAGCGGUGAAAUGCGUAGAUAUCAGAAGGAACGCCGGCGGCGAAAGCGAUUCUCUGGCCUAUUACUGACACUCGGUGUGCGAAAGCUAGGGGAGCAAACGGGAUUAGAUACCCCGGUAGUCCUAGCUGUAAACGAUGGGCACUAAGUAGAGGGGUUUUA
rnacentral:rRNA from 1 species